rnacentral:rRNA from 1 species
AGUCGAGCGGUAGGCGUCCUUCGGGGCGCUGAGAGCGGCGAACGGCGGAGUAACACGUGGGUAACCUGCCCCGAAGACUGGGACAACCCGGGGAAACUCGGGCUAAUACCGGAUGUGGAUGCACGGGCUUCGGCGUGUGCAUCUAAAUGGGUUUCCGCUUCGGGAUGGGCCCGCGGCCUAUCAGGUUGUUGGUGAGGUAACGGCUCACCAAGCCGACGACGGGUAGCCGGUCUGAGAGGAUGAUCGGCCCGAGGGGCACUGAGACACGGGCCCCACUCCUACGGGAGGCAGCAGUCGGGAAUUUUGGGCAAUGGGCGCAAGCCUGACCCAGCGACGCCGCGUGGAGGACGAAGCCCUUCGGGGUGUAAACUCCUUUUAGUGGGGACGAACGCAGACGGUACCCACAGAAAAAGCCCCGGCUAACUACGUGCCAGCAGCCGCGGUAAUACGUAGGGGGCGAGCGUUGCCCGAAUUUACUGGGCGUAAAGCGCACGUAGGCGGCUCCGUAAGUCUGGUGUGAAAUCUCACGGCUCAACCGGGAGGCUGCACCAGAUACUGCGGAGCUCGAGGACGGGAGAGGAGAUCGGAAUUCCCGGUGUAGCGGUGAAAUGCAUUGAUAUCGGGAGGAACACCAGUGGCGAAGGCGGAUCUCUGGCCCGUUGCUGACGCUGAGGUGCGAAAGCUGGGGGAGCGAAAGGGAUUAGAUACCCCUGUAGUCCCAGCCCUAAACGAUGGGCGCUAGGUGUUUGGGGGGAUUAACCCUCGGCGCCGUAGCUAACGCAUUAAGCGCCCCGCCUGGGGAGUACGCCGCAGG